rnacentral:rRNA from 1 species
GUGGAUUAGAUACCCUGGUAGUCCUAGCCGUAAACGGUGCACGUUUGCUGUGAGUGGAAUCGACCCCACUCGUGGCGAAGCUAACGCGUUAAACGUGCCGCCUGGGAAGUACGGUCGCAAGAUUAAAACUCAAAGAAAUUGACGGGGGCCUGCACAAGCGGUGGAGUAUGUGGCUUAAUUCGAUGCAACGCGAAGAACCUUACCUGGCCUUGACAUGUAGGUAGUAGAACCGUGAAAGCGGGACGAGGUAGCAAUACCAGCCUACACAGGUGCUGCACGGCUGUCGCCAACU